rnacentral:rRNA from 1 species
AGUGAACGCUGGCGGCAGGCCUAAUACAUGCAAGUCGAACGGCAGCACGGCAGAGCUUGCUCUGUGGGUGGCGAGUGGCGGACGGGUGAGGAAUACAUGGGAAUCUGCCCAGUCGUGGGGGAUAACCUCGGGAAACCGGGACUAAUACCGCAUGCGCCCUACGGGGGAAAGCAGGGGAUCUUCGGACCUUGUGCGAUUGGAUGAGCCCAUGUUCGAUUAGCUAGUUGGCGGGGUAAUGGCCCACCAAGGCGACGAUCGAUAGCUGGUCUGCGAGGAUGAUCAGCCACACUGGAACUGAGACACGGUCCAGACUCCUACGGGAGGCAGCAGUAGGGAAUAUUGGACAAUGGGCGCAAGCCUGAUCCAGCCAUGCCGCGUGAGUGAAGAAGGCCUUCGGGUUGUAAAGCUCUUUUGUCCGGAAAGAAAAGCCUUGGGUUAAUACCCCGGGGUCCUGACGGUACCGGAAGAAUAAGCACCGGCUAACUUCGUGCCAGCCGCCGCGGUAAAAC